rnacentral:rRNA from 1 species
UACGUAGGGUGCAAGCGUUAAUCGGAAUUACUGAGCGUAAAGCGUGCGCAGGCGGUUGUGCAAGACCGAUGUGAAAUCCCCGGGCUUAACCUGGGAACUGCGCUUCUAACUGGCAGGCUAGAGUGUGGCAGAGGGGGGUGGAAUUCCACGUGUAGCAGUGAAAUGCGUAGAGAUGUGGAGGAACACCGAUGGCGAAGGCAGCCCCCUGGGCUAACACUGACGCUCAUGCACGAAAGCGUGGGGAGCAAACAGG